UUUCUGGAGGUCAAUUUUUAUAAUGCAUCUGGGGGACACAUGCUGUCUAGUAUAGCUUUUGACAAGCUCGUGUGCUAGGAUGAUGUUGUCCUGGAUCUUUCUACAUGGGAUGAAUCCUGACUGAGCUUCACUGAUAAUACUUGCCAUCACCUUCUGCACCCUAUUAGCCAGUAUUUUUGAGAUGAUUUUGUAGAGAACAGAACAGCAAGCAAUAGGCCUAUACUCUUUGACUGUAGAGACAGUUUAGGAAUGAGGGUAAUAGUUGCACAAUUUAUUGGUUUGCACAUCCUAGUUGAGGUGAAAAACUGCUUAAUGGCAGUGGUGACUUGGUUACCAAUGAUGCCCCAGCUCUUUUUGAUGCACAGUUUAUUGGUUUGCACAUCCUAGUUGAGGUAAAAAACUGCUUAAUGGCAGUGGUGACUUCAUUACCAAUGAUGCCCCAGCUCUUUUUGAAGAAUACAGCAUUGUAUGCAUCUAUCCCUGGUGCUUUCUCAUCUCCAAUAGCCUUGAGACUCUCUAUUUCUGUAUCAGUUACUGCACCACAUAGCUCCUGUCUUUGUUGUUGUGUCAGUUUUGGGCCAUUUGACAUAUACAGUUUGUUUAUAGCAGGCAGAUUAGUUGCAGAAGUUCCCAUCAGUGCCUUGUAGAAUCCCAUGAUUUCUUCUUUGAUAUCUUCAGGUGUAGUAAGUUUGAUUCCCAUUGCAUUGGUAAGUUCAGUAAUCUGUUUGUGUUGACUUCUCUCCUUCAUUACUUCAGUGAAGUACUUAGUGUUGGAGUAGGUGUAAUAAGUUUGAUUCCCAUUGCAUUGGUAAGUUCAGUAAUCUGGUUAUGUUGACUUCUCUCCUUCAUUACUGCAGUGAAACACUUAGUGUCGGAGUCCCCAAGUUGUAUCCAUUUUGCUCUUGCCUUCUGUUGAGGAACACUUUCCUCAAUCAUUGACCAUUUUUCAAAUUUUAGGACCAACUCCUUCUCCUUCUGUUGUAGGCCAUCAGUGUAUGCUUGAUUCAUCUGGGCUUGUAACCCAGUUCCUGUCUACACUGUUCUAUUCUCUGUGAAAUUGUCUUCAAUUAUUUAAUAUUCAGGACCUGCAAAGGGCUCUUCAAGGCUUUGAGUUUGUCCCAUAUUGCUCUCAUUGUAUCUGCCUUUCCAUCCUGCCACACUCUUGCCACAAUCUGCUGGAAGUCCUUAUGCUCAGCCCAAACAUUAAAGAAUUUGAAAGUCUUCUUCCCAUGCCAGGAAGAUGAAAUCAGUGUCAAUAACAUGGAGUUAUGGUCUGAGAUUAGGGGUAAAUCAUAAUCAGUAACCACCUGGUUCCAUUUGAUCAUCCAUUCAUAGUUUCCAAAGACUCUAUCCAGCCUACUGCAUACUCUGUCCACCCUAGUUUGCUUAUUUGUCCAUGUGUAAUAUUCGCCUUCCGAGGCAAUUCUGUCAGUCCAGCUAGCUGCAUACAUUUGUUAAACUCUAGAGUUUCAGGGAGUCUGACUGGCUUGCAAGAUUGUCUAUCUUUGUCACAUAAGGCUGCAUUGAAAUCCCCAGCAACAACCCAUGGGUCUUGCAUUAUUGCUGCUAGUGCUUGUAAACUGCUCCAUAGGGAUCUUCUCUGUUCCAGCCCAUUAAAACCAUACACCACAGUGAGGAAACAUGUGAAAUCCCCUGUUCUGCUGGAAACCCUGCUGUGAAUCAACUGGCUUUCCUCCAGAACACUACUGACUGUAAAAACUUUUGGAUUCCAUAGAAUCCACACUCUACCCUUUUCACCUGAGACAUAGUUUGUUAAGACACCCCAUCCUGGUGCUAGUAGAUUAGCAAUUCUACUAGCAUGUAUUUGCUUAACCUUAGUUUAUACUAAUCCAACUAGGUUGAUGUUGUUUUUCCUUAUAUACUCCCUAACUUGUUUCUGCUUUUAUUUUAUUUACACCCUUAUAUUCCACACUAACCACUUCAUUGAUAAGAUGUUGAU
rnacentral:lncRNA from 1 species